rnacentral:rRNA from 1 species
UGAGUAACACGUGGGUGAUCUGCCCUGCACUUUGGGAUAAGCCUGGGAAACUGGGUCUAAUACCGAAUAUGAUCAUGACCUGCAUGGGGUGUGGUGGAAAGCUUUUGCGGUGUGGGAUGGGCCCGCGGCCUAUCAGCUUGUUGGUGGGGUAAUGGCCUACCAAGGCGACGACGGGUAGCCGGCCUGAGAGGGUGACCGGCCACACUGGGACUGAGAUACGGCCCAGACUCCUACGGGAGGCAGCAGUGGGGAAUAUUGCACAAUGGGCGCAAGCCUGAUGCAGCGACGCCGCGUGAGGGAUGACGGCCUUCGGGUUGUAAACCUCUUUCAGUAGGGACGAAGCGCAAGUGACGGUACCUAUAGAAGAAGGACCGGCCAACUACGUGCCAGCAGCCGCGGUAAUACGUAGGGUCCGAGCGUUGUCCGGAAUUACUGGGCGUAAAGAGCUCGUAGGUGGUUUGUCG